CAAAAAUAAAAAACCAAAUAUAUUAAGUGGGCCUUCUUACACAUGUAUCAAACUGUGCAUGGGCUUCAUAUACGUAAGAUCGGGCCAACAUGACUUUUUUGGCCCAUAAUAGCCCAUACCCAAUUAUAAACCCAACCUACAAAUAUCAUUAAAAAAAACCUUGAAUAAAAUAAAUAAAUAAAUAAAAACAGAUAAUGUUAACGUUUUUCUUAAGCUUCCUCAAUUUUUUUCUUGGUAAUUAAUUAAAAAUGCCGUUUUCCGGCGCCAAAAUUCCGACGGCAAUUCCAACUUUUCCGUCACCUAAGGUUGAUAAUGGGCGAUUAUUUGAGGUUGACAAGAUUUGCAAAAAUAGAGCUUUGAAAUUAAGUUGGAAUUUUGGAAUUACACAAUUGAAGCUGAAAAGAAGUAAUUAUCACUCAAGAUUUGUUACUUAUGCUUCUAAUGUCUCAGUUUCUGACGCUUCCUUUCCAGCUGAUUAUUCUGAGCUUCUUCGUCAAGCGAAAGAAGCUACUGAGUUUGCAAUAAAGGAUAACAUACAGUUGAUGGAGAUUGAGUUCCCAACUUCUGGAUUACAAUCAGUGCCAGGUGAUGGUGAAGGUGGUACAGAAAUGACUGAGAGCAUGCAGUUGAUCCGUGAAUUCUGUGACCGCCUUGUAGCUCCAGAAAAAGCUACCCGGACCAGGAUAUUUUUCCCAGAAGCCAGUGAAGUAAAGUUUGCGAGAACGUCAGUUUUUGAGGGAGUUUCAUUGAAAUUAGAUUACCUGACUAAGCCAUCUUUUCUUGAGGACUUUGGUUUUGGCACAAAAGUCAAAAUGGCAGACCGCGUACGGCCAGAAGAUGAGCUUUUCUUGGUUGCAUACCCAUACUUCAAUGUGAAUGAGAUGCUUGUUGUGGAAGAACUGUAUAAAGAAGCAGUCGCUAACACUUCAAGGAAAUUGAUUGUUUUCAAUGGGGAACUGGAUCGAAUAAGAUCUGGAUACUACCCGUCAUUCUUUUACCCAAAGUUGGCUGCACUUACCAAGACAUUGUUGCCAAAAAUGGAAACCGUGUAUUACAUUCAUAAUUUUAAAGGACGAAAUGGUGGAACUCUUUUCAGGUGUUAUCCCGGACCUUGGCAGGUUCUUAGAAGGACUGGGAACAAGUAUAUUUGUGUGCAUCAACGAGAAACUAUGCCAUCUCUGAAGGAAGUUGCCUUGGACAUCCUUCAACCAGCUUGAUCUACAUGGCUGCUUCCAAGUAUCUUGUAUAUUGUAUCUUCUGAUCAUAAAGCCCCAGUUAGGUGAUCACAGGCCAUGGGCUGGACCAUUCUGAGUUUAUUGUAGUAUGUUAAUUGGUUUGAACUCUGCUUUGGAUGUUUUUAUUAGGGCCAUCUACUCAUGUCGACCCCUAACAUUCUAACAAGAGCCUAAUCAAUAGGGUCUGGCUACCAUGCAGACCCUAAAAUAGCAGUCCGAAUCGAGUACAGUUGAAUAGGCCAAAAUGGAUUUGCUCAACUCUAGAUCAGUUUUAUAUGACAUUCCAGCGGACCAGCCUCUUGUUGAAGCUAGGGGAAGUAAUAGCCAAAUUUCAAAGAUUCGCGUAGGAUUUUGAGCGUGACUCAGAAUUGGACGACUUUGGUGAUAGCUUGUACAACUAAACUUUGAAUUUAUGACAUUUUAAAAGAUUUGUUUUUCUAGUUUAGAACACGUAGCCCUUUGUGCAGCUUCAUUAUAUUAGCCAACUCUUGAGAGGUUUGCUAUCCAUGUUAAUUACGUAUUUAAAGAAAUGCGAAAUAUACAUUGUGUGCAUUUAGACCUAGCUCUUGUAUAAUUUUUUUUUUUUUUAAAAAA